CAGAGGGGGCAAGCGUUGUUCGGAAUUACUGGGCGUAAAGGGCGCGUAGGCGGCCUGUUAAGUCGAACGUGAAAUCCCCGGGCUCAACCCGGGAACUGCGUCCGAUACUGGCAGGCUUGAAUCCGGGAGAGGGAUGCGGAAUUCCAGGUGUAGCGGUGAAAUGCGUAGAUAUCUGGAGGAACACCGGUGGCGAAGGCGGCAUCCUGGACCGGCAUUGACGCUGAGGCGCGAAAGCCAGGGGAGCAAACGGGAUUAGAUACCCCGGUAGUCCUGGCCCUAAACGAUGAAUGCUUGGUGUGGCGGGUAUCGAUCCCUGCCGUGCCGAAGCUAACGCAUUAAGCAUUCCGCCUGGGGAUACGGUCGCAAGGCUG
rnacentral:rRNA from 1 species